CACGCAGGCGGUUUGUUAAGUCAGAUGUGAAAACCCCGGGCUCAACCUGGGAAUUGCAUUUGAAACUGGCAAGCUAGAGUACGAGAGAGGGGGGUAGAAUUCCACGUGUAGCGGUGAAAUGCGUAGAGAUGUGGAGGAAUACCGGUGGCGAAGGCGGCCCCCUGGCUCGAUACUGACGCUCAGGUGCGAAAGCGUGGGGAGCAAACA
rnacentral:rRNA from 1 species